UAGGCGAACCUGGGACAGAUUUGAGGUGA
rnacentral:piRNA from 1 species